UCAGACAUGCAGAGAAGGCUCCAACCAAGACUGUUUACAAAAUAGAUGACAUGACAGCUGCACCCAUGGAUGUUCAUCAGUGGGUGGACACAGAUGACACCAGUGGUGAAAAUACUGUAGUUCCUCCAGAAACAUAUGUGAAAGUAGCUGGCCACCUGAGGUCCUUUUAGAACAAAAAGAUCCUGGGCCUUUAAGAUCAUGCUCCUAGAGAAUAUGAAUGAAUUUACCACACAUAUCCUAGAGGUAGUCAACAAGCACGUGGUGCUGAGCCAGCCCUCAGAAGGGAAAGCAUCUAUUCAGCAAUCCAGGAAUGGGGGAAGCAGGAAGCUUUCAUGGAAAUAGCUUCAUGCUAACAAAUGGCCUCACUAAGGCCCCAAACCAGGUGCUGAAUUUGAUUAAGGUUUGCCCAAGACCUGAAGGAUUGAACUUUCAGAAUCCCGGGACCCAGCUCCAACACAUGCUUGUAGCUUCAAUCAAGCAAGUUGUGGAUUUUCUUUUCC
rnacentral:lncRNA from 1 species